rnacentral:rRNA from 1 species
UACGAAGGUGGCAAGCGUUGUUCGGAUUUACUGGGCGUACAGGGAGCGUAGGCGGUUGGGUAAGCCCUCCGUGAAAUCUCCGGGCCUAACCCGGAAAGUGCGGAGGGGACUGCUCGGCUAGAGGAUGGGAGAGGAGCGCGGAAUUCCCGGUGUAGCGGUGAAAUGCGUAGAGAUCGGGAGGAAGGCCGGUGGCGAAGGCGGCGCUCUGGAACAUUUCUGACGCUGAGGCUCGAAAGCGUGGGGAGCGAACAGG